rnacentral:lncRNA from 1 species
AUUUGGAGUUGGUGGCGGUUGAGCAGCUUUUCGAUAGAUUUGGUCAAGGAGUUGGAGGUGGUUGGAAAGGAUUUCUGGUGGCUUGGGAGUUUGUCUGGAAAUGAUAAGGAAUGUUUGGCUGACCUAGAGAUGCACUUAAUUAUUUAACGAUUCACAUAAAUUUACCAUAUGCCACCUAGAUAGAGUCAAAGACGGAAUUCGUCCAAUAAGUGAUGGGAAAUAACGGACAUAAGUUUAGUGACCAUUGGGACGAUUUUUGAAGUUGGAUGACUAAAUCGUGACGAAGUACAAAGUUUGAUGGCCAAUAAAACAUUUAACUCGUUGAUCCAUGUAUCUUUAUGUUGUUUUACUUACAAGAUGAUGACGUAUUGUGAUUGGUCUAGAGGGUAAAAUUCUAUUUACCCAAAAUUCUACUAUACUAAAGUCAUAUUUUAGGAGUAAAAAUAUAACCCUUUCGCCUUACUAGGGCUAAACAUAUAUCGAGAGAGAGCCAUACAAACCGAGUCAGAAAAAAGCCCAUUUCAGAGAGAGAGAUGAUACCAGUACCGGUGGGAGAAGAAGUCGGCCCGAAACUCGCUCGACUUCUGUACUUCGUCGGCGCCGGAUGUAUGUAUUUAACAUUCUGAACGAAUUUCUUCAAUUUUUAUUUUGGUGGUCUUAAAUCAUAUGUAUCCGCUCGGAAAAAUCAUGCCCUUUUUUAUUGCAGUUUUGUGCACUGCUGCGAUUAACAAGUGGAGAGAUUGGGAAAGAAAGUCUACGAUUCAAAAGCAACAACAGUUUAAUGGUCAAACACUGAAAAAUCAAUCAAAUGGGGUACAAAAAGCUAUUGAAUAAAAACGAUCCCCCCCCCAUCCCACUUUUUUCUCUUUUUGAUGAGGGGGUUCUUGAUUUUCAAUAGGCCGUUGCUGUUAAAUAAACAAUUUGAUGAUUAUUCAGGUGGACAAAUUUUUCAAUGUAGUAAGUGGAUUUAGACUGUACAUGGUUUCUUCUUGUUUCUGAUGUAUGGACCAAAUUGUUUAGGAUUUCGUGAUUACAAAAGAAAAAAAAAUGGUUUGUUACUAUUGUGUUAUAGUUUAUGGAUUGCAUAAAACCUGUAAGAGAAACCUUUUGGUAUAGAAGAUAAUGUGAUCUAUUCACUGUGGAUAUGGUGAACUUCAUUACUACAUUUUUUUUAGCAAUGCACUUGUGACUGUGUUUGUGUUUGAUUACAUUUAUUUUCCAUGGAAAAUAUCAGUUUUUCACCCAAAUUCCUACUUUGAGUGAUUGAUUGCUAUUUUUUUCCAUGGAAAACAUUUUUCAACUUUUGAAAAUAUGCCUAAUUUUCCUUGUUUUUAAGGAAAAUAUUUUCCUUGGGUAGAGGUGGUUUUUAUUUUCCACAAAAGAUGGAAAAUA